AUUGAACGCUGGCGGCAUGCCUUACACAUGCAAGUCGAACGGCAGCACGGGUGCUUGCACCUGGUGGCGAGUGGCGAACGGGUGAGUAAUACAUCGGAACGUACCUUAUCGUGGGGGAUAACGCAGCGAAAGCUGUGCUAAUACCGCAUACGCCCUGAGGGGGAAAGCGGGGGAUCGAAAGACCUCGCGCGACUAGAGCGGCCGAUGCCUGAUUAGCUUGUUGGUGGGGGAAAAGCCCACCAAGGCGACGAUCAGUAGCUGGUCUGAGAGGACGAUCAGCCACAGUGGGACUGGGACACGGGCCAGACUCCUACGGGAGGCAGCAGUGGGGAAUUUUGGACAAUGGGGGCAACCCUGAUCCAGCAAUGCCGCGUGAGUGAAGAAGGCCUUCGGGUUGUAAAGCUCUUUUGUCAGGGAAGAAACACCGGCUCUAACACAGUCCGGGAAUGACGGUACCUGAAGAAUAAGCACCGGCUAACUACGUGCCAGCCGCCGCAGUAA
rnacentral:rRNA from 1 species